CCUACGGGUGGCUGCAGUGGGGAAUAUUUGGCAAUGGGCGCAAGCCUGACCCAGCAACGCCGCGUGAAGGAAGAAGGCUUUCGGGUUGUAAACCUCUUUUCUCAGGGACGAAGCAAGUGACGGUAUCUGAGGAAUAAGCCACGGCUAACUACGUGACAGCAGCCGCGGGAAUACGUCGGUGGCAAGCGUUAGCCGGAUUUACUGGGUGUAAUGGGCGUGUAGGCGGGAUUGCAGGUCAGAUGUGAAAACAACGGGCUCAACCUGUGGCCUGCAUUUGAAACUGUAAUUCUUGAGUAAUGGAGAGGCAGACGGAAUUCCUGGUGUAGCGGUGAAAUGCGUAGAUAUUAGGAGGAACACCAGUGGCGAAGGCGGUCUGCUGGACAGCAACUGACGCUGAGGCGCGAAAGCGUGGGGAGCAAACAGGAUUAGAUACCCUAGUAGUC
rnacentral:rRNA from 1 species